rnacentral:rRNA from 1 species
AACGAACGCUGGCGGCAGGCUUAACACAUGCAAGUCGAACGGGCGCAGCAAUGCGUCAGUGGCAGACGGGUGAGUAACGCGUGGGAACGUGCCUUUCGGUUCGGAAUAACUCAGGGAAACUUGAGCUAAUACCGGAUACGCCCUUCGGGGGAAAGAUUUAUUGCCGAAAGAUCGGCCCGCGUCCGAUUAGCUAGUUGGUGAGGUAAAGGCUCACCAAGGCGACGAUCGGUAGCUGGUCUGAGAGGAUGAUCAGCCACAUUGGGACUGAAACACGGGCCAGACACCUACGGGUGGCAG